GCGGAUGUAGCCAAGUGGAUCAAGGCAGUGGAUUGUGAAUCUACCAUGCGCGGGUUCAAUUCCCGUCAAUCGCC
rnacentral:tRNA from 1 species